rnacentral:rRNA from 1 species
AGCUGAGUUUGAUCCUGGCUCAGGAUGAACGCUAGCGGCAGGCUUAACACAUGCAAGUCGAGGGGUAUAGGUUUUCGGACCUAGAGACCGGCGCACGGGUGCGUAACGCGUAUGCAAUCUACCUUUCACAGAGGGAUAGCCCCAGAGAAAUUUGGAUUAAUACCUCAUAGUAUUAUAGAAUGGCAUCAUUUGAUUAUUAAAGUUCCAACGGUAAAAGAUGAGUAUGCGUCCCAUUAGCUAGAUGGUAAGGUAACGGCUUACCAUGGCAACGAUGGGUAGGGGUCCUGAGAGGGAGAUCCCCCGACACUGGUACUGAGACACGGACCA